rnacentral:rRNA from 1 species
AUUGAACGCUGGCGGCAUGCUUUACACAUGCAAGUCGAACGGCAGCGCGGGCUUCGGCCUGGCGGCGAGUGGCGAACGGGUGAGUAAUACAUCGGAACGUGCCCAGUAGUGGGGGAUAGCUCGGCGAAAGCCGGAUUAAUACCGCAUACGACCUGAGGGUGAAAGCGGGGGAUCUUCGGACCUCGCGCUAUUGGCGCGGCCGAUGGCAGAUUAGCUAGUUGGUGGGGUAAAGGCCUACCAAGGCGACGAUCUGUAGCUGGUCUGAGAGGACGACCAGCCACACUGGGACUGAGACACGGCCCAGACUCCUACGGGAGGCAGCAGUGGGGAAUUUUGGACAAUGGGCGAAAGCCUGCUCCAGCAAUGCCGCGUGUGUGAUGAAGGCCUUCGGGUUGUAAAGCACUUUUGGCGGGAACGAAAAGGACUGUGCCAAUACCACGGUUCGAUGACGGUACCCGCAGAAUAAGCACCGGCUAACUACGU